AUAUGUGAAUUCUCGAGCCCAUAACUCUCUAAGGCAUCCCAUGCCAUUUUAUAAAAAGCAUCUGCUUGGUUGACAAGCAGCGAGUCUUCAGACGACCGACAACCUAUGGCGCAUAACGCAUAAAUCAGGUGUUCUGAACAAUACAUGUUAUCAUUAGAGCGAUGAAAAUAUUCGAAGAGGAAGGAUUCGCGAUGGAUAAACAAAAACUGAGCGUACUGCCAUUUGAAGAAUAGCUGUAGGCAAUGUAUUAUCGGAUAAGUAUCUUCAAUGGAAGCAGAAGGUGGAGGUCUUGGGGAUGAAGUAAAUGAAGUUCCGAAGAUGCUUGUAGGGCCAUAAAACGUAACCGUGUUUCUACCACGGACUUCUAACGAAACAGGAAGGUCUACUAGUGAUUUGCUAGUCGCAUUUGUGUCCGCUUGCUCAUAGCUUGUUUUAUUCGGAAGGGAUGCUGAGAGAUGGUCUUUGAAAGAUAUGCCAGCCAAGAGACUUGGAAUUUUCUCUACCGGGGCAACUUUGAUCUUUGCCAAAGUUGAUUCCAUAUUUGCCAACUGACUUUCCAAAGCCUCGACAUAGGUUUUUGUAUGCCUCUUCUUCCGAUUGUCGCCCGCAAUUAUGCAUUCUCUUUUCGCAACAAAGCAGUUAUGACACGGGCGAUUUUUAUCGCACUUUAUCUAUUUCAAGACAGCAAGUUAGAAUGAGAACUUGACUUUGUAAGUUUCAAAGCCGGAUAGUUUGAUA